UUAAAGAGCCAACACUAGUUAAAGGGAACCCUGUACUGCUGUUGCCAAUAUUAACGAGGGAGACUUCAGUUUGCAAAACGCACACCAUCCUGUCUCCCUGGAUGCACCUGUAGCAGAUGGGUUUCCAGUGUGGACUUGAGCCGUCUCACCGCAUCCGGGAUGGAGCUGGUUGAUCGGUUGAUCCGAUUGAAAACGGCAUGGACCUGUUCCACCCCUUGCUCCCCAUGAAAACCCAACCCAACCCCCCAACACCUUAUCCAGGGUAUGACAUGUUCUUCCAAGAGGUGCAUCUUGACAGAUA